GAGAAAUCAAACGGAGCAUUAUUAUUCACAGAUGUUACAUCUUGCCAGCAUAUUAGUUGGAAUUUAACCUACAAGAUAUCAAAUGCGUUCAGCAUUCGGAGAGGAGUCGACUUUGACAGCACAUAGUGUAUGUGAGUAAUGAUUAUUAGGGCAUAAAAGGAGAACCCCGGAGGUAUCGAAUGACGCGUUGUGUAACGCGCUGGAGAGGUCGGUGAUGGGAGGAACACCGCAGAGCGCCUACAGCUCAAUAAUUACCCUAUUAAUAGCAUGGAGGGUAUGGAAGAAAAAAUGCUAAAGAUGACCUUUCCCGAUUUGCGCUGAAUGACACGUCCUGCAAUGUACAGAGAAAAGCUACAUCAACAGUUCUGCUCAGGAUUCGCCAACACACGGAGGACGCACAAUAUCUGUUCAGCUCGUAUUAUGCUGGAGGAUGGGAACAAGUCUGAAUUCUACAGUAGGUGCCAAAAUAGAAAUAAGACUGUGCUGCAGCAUGUUCCUACAGGGAUGGAUGGCCUGCCUGUGACCACAAGCUGCUUUGAUGAACCCUGCUGCCCUGGACCUGGAAUGCUGCCUUUUUGGCUGUAAAAUGUCUCUUCAAAGAUUGCGGAAACCUGUUGAUCCCAUAGAGAUUCUGGCAGCUGGUGCAUGUCUAGAAGUGCCUGAGAAAACAAAGGUCAAAGUUUUUCAAGGCUCGGUUAUCUGGGAGAACCCUCCCUCCUCUUCGGAAACUGCACAUACAAUCUGCCUAGAAGCCAGAUUCAUAACAAACCAUUGUUCCCGGCACAAUGUGCACAGAGCACAAACAUAACAAGGGGGGAAAAACAAGCCAAAAAGAAGUCAAGUAGAAGAGAGUGAGACCACUUUACUAACAGUCCAUCUUAGCUACUUAUACCCAAGUGACCAAGGGUGGACUGGCCAUAGAUCCUACAGGGUAAUUUUCUAGAGGGGCCAAUGCCCAGGGGGCCGCCCAAGCCCUCCUCAUGGCCACCAUUUGAGAACAUAAUGAUCUGAUGCUCUCAGCAUUAACUGACGCCAUGAGUAUCAG